rnacentral:rRNA from 1 species
CCCUGCCUUUUGUACACACCGCCCAUCGCUACUACCGAUUGAAUGAUUUAGUGGGAAUUUCGGACGACUCACCAGGGCAGCCUCUGGGCCACUCGUUGUUUGGUUGAGAGUUGUUUAAACUUGAUCCUUUUGAGGAACUAAUAGUCGUAA